rnacentral:rRNA from 1 species
GUGAGGAAUAUUGCGCAAUGGAGGCAACUCUGACGCAGCCAUGCCGCGUGCAGGAAGAAGGCGCUACGCGUUGUAAACUGCUUUUAACCGGGAAGAAACCCCAGGACGUGUCCUGGGUUGACGGUACCGGAGGAAUAAGCACCGGCUAACUUCGUGCCAGCAGCCGCGGUAAUACGAAGGGUGCAAGCGUUAUCCGGAUUCAUUGGGUUUAAAGGGUGCGUAGGCGGAGCGGUAAGUCAGUGGUGAAAUCCUGCAGCUUAACUGUAGACUUGCCAUUGAUACUGGCGCUCUUGAGUGCGCUUGAAGUGGGCGGAAUGUGCCGUGUAGCGGUGAAAUGCUUAGAUAUGGCACAGAACACCAAUUGCGAAGGCAGCUCACUAAGGCGAUACUGACGCUGAGGCACGAAAGCGUGGGGAUCGAACAGGAUUAGAUACCCCAGUAGUCC